GGGCGUGCUGGCAUGUUCCUGUAGUCCUAGCUACUUGGGAGGCUGAGGCGGGAGGAUCGGGAGGAUAGCUUGAGCCCAGGAGUUCUGGGCUGUAGUGCGCUAUGCUGCUAUGCUAAUCAGGUGGCCGGUUCGGCAUCAGUAUGGUGACCUCCUGGGAGCAGGGGACCACCAGGUUGCCUAAGGAAGUCAGAAAUGGAGCAGGUCAGAAAUGGAGCAUGUCAAAACUCUCAUGCUGAUCAGUGGUGGGAUCAUGCCUUUGAAUAGCUACUGUACUCUAGCCUGGGCAAUGUAGUGAGACCCCACCCCAU
rnacentral:SRP_RNA from 1 species